rnacentral:rRNA from 1 species
UUAACUCCUUCAGGGAAAACAUAAAAAUAGAAAAAGUUUAAUUUUUUCUUUCCUAUUUAUGCACUAAAAUUUUAUAUACAAAAAUUGGAUUAAUUUAAAGUAAUGAAUUAAAUUGAGUAUUUAAAAAAGUAAGAAUUAGUUUGUAAAUUGGAAAUAAAUAAAUUUGUGCCAGCAGCUGCGGUUAGACAGAAAUUUUUUAUAGAAAAAAGUAAAAAUUAAAAUUUGGUUAUUAUGAAAUUAAUUGAUAAAAUAUAAAAAUUAAAUUAAAAGAUAAAAUUUAAAAAUUAUAAAAAGGCUAGGAUUAGAUACCCUAUUAUAAAAAUUAAAAUAUUUGUGAGUAGUAAGAGAAAUCUUGAAACUUAAAAAUUUGGCGGUAAUUUGGUCUGGUCUAGAGGAAUUUGUUCUUUAAUUGAUAAUACACAAUUUAUCUUACCUUUUUAAAGUUUGUGUAUUACUGUCGUAAAAUAAUAUUAGGAAAUUAUAAUUUUUUAUUUAUUUGGUAUGACAAGUCAAGGUACAGCUUAUUAGAAGGAGUGAAAUGAAUUACAAUAAAAAUAGUUAAGUGAAUAAAAAAAUUAUAAUUUUUUUGAAGAUGGAUUUAGAUGUAAAUUUAAAGUAGAGUGAUUUUUUGAAUAAGGUCUAAAUUAUGCACAUAUCGCCCGUCGCUCUCUCUGAAAAGAGAGAUAAGUCGUAACAAAGUAGAUAUAUCGGAAGUUGUAUCUAGA